GAUGAACGCUGGCGGCGUGCCUAAUACAUGCAAGUCGAGCGAACGGACGAGAAGCUUGCUUCUCUGAUGUUAGCGGCUGACGGGUGAGUAACACGUGGAUAACCUACCUAUAAGACUGGGAUAACUUCGGGAAACCGGAGCUAAUACCGGAUAAUAUUUUGAACCGCAUGGUUCAAAAGUGAAAGACGGUCUUGCUGUCACUUAUAGAUGGAUCCGCGCUGCAUUAGCUAGUUGGUAAGGUAACGGCUUACCAAGGCAACGAUGCAUAGCCGACCUGAGGGGGUGAUCGGCCACACUGGAACUGAGACACGGUCCAGACUCCUACGGGAGGCAGCAGUAGGGAAUCUUCCGCAAUGGGCGAAAGCCUGACGGAGCAACGCCGCGUGAGUGAUGAAGGUCUUCGGAUCGUAAAACUCUGUUAUUAGGGAAGAACAUAUGUGUAAGUAACUGUGCACAUCUUGACGGUACCUAAUCAGAAAGCCACGGCUAACUACGUG
rnacentral:rRNA from 1 species